ACGAAUGGGUCUCUAUGUGUGGUGUAGUAGCAUAGUGAUGUGAAGAGUUAGUUGGUUGUGGAUUCAGUAUAUUAAAUGAGUUCAUACUAGUGUUACUCAAUGCUUUUUGAUGUUAAGCCUGUACACUGUGCCAACUAUGAGGCACAUUUCGGUUCAGGCACCAAAUUAACAGUUCUCGAGCCAGACAUCCCUGUCACUCCACCCAAAGUCAAAGUCCUUCCACCCUCCACUAAGGAGUGUGAAGAUAGAAACAAGAAGAAGAAGAAGACGUUGGUGUGUGUGGCCACCGACUUCUACCCCGACCACGUCACUGUGUUCUGGAAGUUAAAUGGAGGCGCCAACAUCACCGAUGGAGUGGGGACCGACAACACAGCCUUGAGGGAUGAAAACAGACGCUACAGUAUCACCAGCAGACUGAGAGUCCCAGCCAAGACAUGGAACACGGCCUCUAACAGAUUCACCUGCACCGUCCGCUUCUUCAAUGGGACCGAUAACAUAUAUGUUGCAGAUCACAUUAACGGAGAAGAAGGUGGUGAUGGAGGGAUGACGGCAGAGUACUACGUGAAGAGCACCCAGACUGCCAAGCUGGCCUACAGCAUCUUCAUCGCUAAGAGUACCUUCUACGGCCUGGUCGUCAUGGCUCUGAUUUGGAAGUCUCAGCGCUCCUCAGAUAAACAGAUGUAAUUGAUCCCUGACUGAGACCAGGCCACCCGUGGAAGCUGAAUUGGGUGGACUGGAGGGCGGCAUGUGUGGUAUAAGGCUCUGGUGACACUUUAAAGUAGUGCACUAUAAAGUAGUAGGACGUAAUAGCCAUUUGGGACGAGGAACAAACCCAUUUCUAUCAUGUGAUUACAAUGUACAGUGUGCUGUCUAUUAUCUGUCACUUACUAUACAAUGUGAGGAUGUAUUUUAUCGUCCCCAAUAAACAGAAUCUUUAUUCAUGUAUUCACUGAGAGUACAAAACAUUAAGAACACCUUCCUCAUCCUCCCCCUUGAAUUCGUCGGGGCAUGGACUCUACAAGGUGUCUAAAGCGUUCCACAGGGAUGCUGGCCCAUGUUGACUCCAAUGCUUCCCACGGUUGUGUCAAGUUGGCUGGAUGUCCUUUGGGUGGUGGACCAUUCUCGAUACACACGGGAAACUGUUGAGUGUGAAAAACCCAGCAGCGUUGCAGUUCUUGACAGAACCAGUGUGCCUGGCACCUACUACCCUACCCCCGUUCAAAGACACUUAAAUAUUUUGUCUUACCCAUUCACCCUCUGAAGGACACACAUACACAAUCCAUGUCUCUAUUGUCUCAAGGCAUAACAAUCCUCAAGGCAUAACAAUUUAACCCGUCUCCUCGCCUUCAUCUACACUAACUGGAUUUAACAAUUGGGAUCAUAGCUUUCACCUGGAUUCACCUGGCCAAUUUAUGUCAUGGAAAGAGCAGGUGUUCAUAAUGUUUUGUUCACUCAGUGUAUAUGAGUUAAUUCUAAGUUAAUCCUAAUUAAAUAAAGGUUAAAUAAAAUAUAUAUAUAAUUAGUCUGUUCAAGUGUCAUUUUAUCAGUCUGAGUUGUCAGGUAACGUUUUCCUUCAACACGUUGUGACAUCUGCAAGGAGAAGGGCCUCCUAAAAUACAUUUGGUUGAUUUUCAUCAUCACUUGUUACUAUAUUACUCACUUGUUACUAUAUUACUCACUUGUUACUAUAUUACUCACUUGUUACUAUAUUACUCACUUGUAUUGUUACUAUAUUACUCACUUGUUACUAUAUUACUCACUUGUUACUAUAUACUCACUUGUUACUAUAUUACUCACUUGUUACUAUAUUACUCACUUGUUACUAUAUACUCACUUGUUACUAUAUUACUCACUUGUUACUAUAUACUCACGUGUUACUAUAUUACUCACUUGUUACUAUAUUACUCACUUGUUACUAUAUUACUCACUUGUUACUAUAUACUCACUUGUUACUAUAUUACUCACUUGUUACUAUAUACUCACUUGUUACUAUAUUACUCACUUGUUACUAUAUACUCACGUGUUACUAUAUUACUCACUUGUUACUAUAUUACCCACUUGUUACUAUAUUACUCACUUGUUAGUCAAUAAUAAAGUUGGAAAUGUGA